GAACAACUAUUUUUUAUUUAUUUUGACAGCACGAACAAAUACUGCAUUUGUGUUUUGAAAACAAUCAUACUCAAAGGAAAUUUCAGUCUAUGUCAAAUUGAAAUAAUUCAACUUCCUACUCUAUCAUUUUCUGCAGAUACUUGACAUUUUUUAACUUAGUUUUAUACUGAAAACCCCGUGAAACACAAACUCCCAGAGUCCCUGUCAGGCAACUGAUAACGAGAUGUCAAACUAAGCGGGAGGUACAAAGAAGAUUCGUAUGAUGCGAUAACAGAAACCUAGGAACAGACGCUGUAGCCAGCUAAAUGCUUAACAUGUCUCGACAGUCGUGGCCUGAACUUGUUGGGAAGCCAUGGAAGGAAGCUGAAGAUGCUAUACGGAGGGAUUACCCUAAUUUAUCUAUUCAAGUACUACCUGAAAACUCCCGGGUGAACCAAGAUGUCCGACCAGACCGAAUGUGCGUAUCAUCAUGAAAGGAGAUGGGACAGUGGCUCAACCUCCACAUAUUGGAUGAGAUUAAGAUGGAGAGCCCGAACCCAAUCUGUUUACAAGAUUUCAUCAAGUCCUACUGUCAUCUCUAUUUAAUUCCAGAAAGGAGAGUGCCUCCACACAUUGGAUAAGAUUGAGAUGGAGAAACUGCACCCAAUUCAUUUACAAGAUUCAUCAAGUCCUACUAUCAUCUUUACCUAGUUCCAAUGUGAAAGGGCGGUGGGGUAGCCUUGUGGUUAAAGCGUUCGCUCAUCACGCCGAAGACCCAGGUUCGAUUCCCCACAUGGGUGCAAUGUGUGAAGCCCAUUUAUGGUGUCCCCCGCGUGAUAUUGCUGGAAUAUUGCUAAAAGCGGCGUAAAACUAAACUCACUCACUCCAAUGUGAAAGGAGAGCAUGCUUCCACACAGGGGCGGAUACAGGAUUUCCGUUUGGGGGGGGUGCACCCCAAUCCUCGGAACCCUGGGCAUAAAACAUGUAGUACAUUU